rnacentral:rRNA from 1 species
GACAGAGGUGCCGAGCGUUAGGCGGAAUCACUGGGCUUAAAGCGUGUGUAGGCGGAUCUGUAAGUACCUUGUGAAAUCCCACGGCUCAACCUGGAACUGCUUGGUAUGCUGCGGGUCUGAGCCACCUAGGGGCAAGUGGGAACAAACGGUGGAGCGGUGAAAUGCGUAGAUAUCGUUUGAACGCAAUGGUGAAAACAACUUGCUGGGGGUGUGCUGACGCUGAGACACGAAAGCCAGGGGAGGCAAAACGGGG